GAUGAACGCUGGCGGCGUGCUUAACACAUGCAAGUCGAACGGAUAGGUUGCUGCUUGCAGGGGUACCCGAGUGGCGAACGGGUGAGUUACACGUGGGUGAUCUGCCCUGCACUUUGGGAUAAGCCUGGGAAACUGGGACUAAUGCCGGCUAGGACGAUGGUUUGGCUGCCAUUGUGGAAAGGUUGUGGGUGUGGGAUGAGCUCGCGGCCUCUCAGCUGGUUGUGGGGGUAAUGGCCUACCAAGGCGUCGACGGGUAGCCGGCAUGAGAGGGUGUACGGCCACAUUGGGACUGAGAUACGCCCCAGACUCCUACGUGAGGCAGCGGUGGGGAAUAUGACACAGUGGUGGCAAGCCUGAUGCGGCGACCCCGGGUUCGUGAUGACGGCCAUCGGGUUGUAAACUGCUUUCGCUAGGGACCUAGCGCAAGUGACGGUACCUGGAGAAUAAGCACCGGCUAACUACGUG
rnacentral:rRNA from 1 species